rnacentral:rRNA from 1 species
AGAUAGCUGGUUCUCCCCGAAAGCUAUUUAGGUAGCGCCUCGUGAAUUCAUCUCCGGGGGUAGAGCACUGUUUCGGCUAGGGGGCCAUCCCGGCUUACCAACCCGAUGCAAACUGCGAAUACCGGAGAAUGUUAUCACGGGAGACACACGGCGGGUGCUAACGUCCGUCGUGAAGAGGGAAACAACCCAGACCGCCAGCUAAGGUCCCAAAGUCAUGGUUAAGUGGGAAACGAUGUGGGAAGGCCCAGACAGCCAGGAUGUUGGCUUAGAAGCAGCCAUCAUUUAAAGAAAGCGUAAUAGCUCACUGGUCGAGUCGGCCUGCGCGGAAGAUGUAACGGGGCUAAACCAUGCACCGAAGCUGCGGCAGCGACGCUGAUGCGUUGUUGGGUAGGGGAGCGUUCUGUAAGCCUGUGAAGGUGGCCUGUGAGGGUUGCUGGAGGUAUCAGAAGUGCGAAUGCUGACAUAAGUAACGAUAAAGCGGGUGAAAAGCCCGCUCGCCGGAAGACCAAGGGUUCCUGUCCAACGUUAAUCGGGGCAGGGUGAGUCGACCCCUAAGGCGAGGCCGAAAGGCGUAGUCGAUGGGAAACGGGUUAAUAUUCCCGUACUUGGUGUUACUGCGAAGGGGGGACGGAGAAGGCUAUGUUGGCCGGGCGACGGUU